rnacentral:rRNA from 1 species
CUACCUACAGGACGGGGACAACAGUUGGAAACGACUGCUAAUACCCGAUGAGCCGCAAGGUAAAAGAUUUAUCGCCUGAAGCAGGGCUCGCGUCUGAUUAGCUAGUUGGUGGGGUAAAAGCCUACCAAGGCGACGAUCAGUAGCUGGUCUGAGAGGAUGAGCAGCCACACUGGGACUGAGACACGGCCCAGACUCCUACGGGAGGCAGCAGUGGGGAAUUUUCCGCAAUGGGCGCAAGCCUGACGGAGCAAUACCGCGUGAGGGAGGAAGGCCCUUGGGUUGUAAACCUCUUUUGUUCGGGAAGAAGCAAUGACGGUACCGAACGAAUAAGCAUCGGCUAACUCCGUGCCAGCAGCCGCGGUAAUACGGAGGAUGCAAGCGUUAUCCGGAAUCAUUGGGCGUAAAGCGUCCGCAGGUGGUGAUUCAAGUCUGCGGUCAAAGACAGAAGCUCAACUUCUGAAAGGCCGUGGAAACUGAAACACUAGAGUCCGGUAGGGGUAGAGGGAAUUCCCAGUGUAGCGGUGAAAUGCGUAGAGAUUGGGAAGAACAUCGGUGGCGAAAGCGCUCUACUGGGCCGAGACUGACACUCGGGGACGAAAGCUAGGGUAGCGAAAGGGAUUAGAUACCCCUGUAGUC